rnacentral:rRNA from 1 species
UACGGGGGGGGCAAGCGUUGUUCGGAAUUACUGGGCGUAAAGGGCGCGUAGGCGGCCUUCUAAGUCGGACGUGAAAUCCCUCGGCUCAACCGAGGAACUGCGUCCGAUACUGAAAGGCUUGAAUCCGGGAGAGGGAUGUGGAAUUCCAGGUGUAGCGGUGAAAUGCGUAGAUAUCUGGAGGAACACCGGUGGCGAAGGCGGCAUCCUGGACCGACACUGACGCUGAGGAGCGAAAGCCAGGGGAGCAAACGGG